rnacentral:rRNA from 1 species
UACGAAGGGGGCUAGCGUUGUUCGGAAUUACUGGGCGUAAAGCGCACGUAGGCGGAUAUUUAAGUCAGGGGUGAAAUCCCGGGGCUCAACCCCGGAACUGCCUUUGAUACUGGGUAUCUCGAGUCCGAGAGAGGUGAGUGGAAUUCCGAGUGUAGAGGUGAAAUUCGUAGAUAUUCGGAGGAACACCAGUGGCGAAGGCGGCUCACUGGCUCGGGUACUGACGCUGAGGUGCGAAAAGCGUGGGGAGCAAACAGGG